rnacentral:pre_miRNA from 1 species
UUGGUUUCUAAACAAGAUUGGGUGGCUUGAGCUUUAUGACCUGGCGCCGAGUCUUGCUGAAAGGUA